GUUCUCUAUAGGUUUAAUGCAAUGCCAAUCAAAAUCCCAACAGCAUUUCUUGUAGAAAUAGAGAAAGCAAUCAUGAAAUUCAUAUGGAAAAAUAAAAGACCCAGAAUAGCAAAAACAAUGCUAAGCAGGAAGUGUGAAUCAGGCGGUAUAGCGAUACCAGACUUCAAACUAUACUACAGAGCAAUAGUAACAAAAACAGCAUGGUACUGGUACCAAAACAGGCAGGUGGACCAAUGGUACAGAAUAGAGGACACAGAGACCAAUCCACAAAAUUACAACUUUCUUAUAUUUGAUAAAGGGGCUAAAAGCAUGCAAUGGAGGAAGGAUAGCAUCUUCAACAAAUGGUGCUGGGAAAACUGGAAAUCCAUAUGCAACAAAAUGAAACUGAAUCCCUUUCUCUCGCCAUGCACAAAAGUUAACUCAAAAUGGAUCAAAGAGCUUGAUAUCAAAUCAGAGACUCUGCACCUGAUAGAAGAAAAAGUUGGCUCCGAUCUACAUAUUGUGGGGUCGGGCUCCAAAUUCCUUAAUAGGACGCCCAUAGCCCAAGAGUUAAUAACAAGAAUAAACAAAUGGGACUUACUUAAACUAAAAAGUUUUUUCUCAGCAAGAGAAACAAUAAGAGAGGUAAAUAGGGAGCCUACAUCCUGGGAACAAAUUUUUACUCCUCACACUUCAGAUAGAGCCCUAAUAUCCAGAAUAUACAAAGAACUCAAAAAAUUAAACAAUAAGAUAACAAAUAACCCAAUCAACAAAUGGGCCAAGGACCUGAACAGACACUUUUCAGAGGAGGACAUACAAUCAAUCAACAAGCACAUGAAAAAAUGCUCACCAUCUCUAGCAGUCAGAGAAAUGCAAAUGAAAACCACCCUAAGAUACCAUCUCACUCCAUUAAGAUUGGCAGCCAUUAUGAAGUCAAACAACAAUAAGUGCUGGCGAGGAUGUGGGGAAAAGGGUACACUUAUACAUUGCUGGUGGGACUGCAAAUUGGUGCGGCCAGUUUGGAAAGCAGUAUGGAGAUUCCUGCGAAAGCUGGGAAUGGAACCACCAUUUGACCCCGCAAUCGCCCUUCUCGGACUAUUCCCUGAGGACCUUAAAAGAGCGUACUAUAGGGAUACUGCCACAUCAAUAAUCAUAGCAGCACAAUUCACAAUAGCAAGACUGUGGAACCAACCUAGAUGCCCUUCAAUAGAUGAAUGGAUAAAAAAAAUGUGGCAUUUAUACACAAUGGAGUAUUAUGCAUCACUAAAAAAUGACAAAAUCAUGGAAUUUGCAGGGAAAUGGAUGGCAUUAGAGCAGAUUAUGCUAAGUGAAGCUAGCCAAUCCUUAAAAAAAAUGUCAAAUGUCUUCUUUGAUAUAAUGAGAGCAACUAAGAACAGAGCAGGGAGGAAGAGCAUGAGGAAAAGAUUAACAUUAAACAGAGACGAGUGGUCGGAGGGAAAGGGAGAGAAAAGGGAAAUUGUAUGGAUAUGGAAGGAGACCCUCACUGUUACACAAAAUUACAUAUAAGAGGUUGUGAGGGGAAAGGGUGGGGGGAAACAAGGGAGAGAAUUGAACACCAGUAGAUGGGGUAGAGAGGGAAG
rnacentral:lncRNA from 1 species